AAAACAGGAAAAUUGGGGGCGAGCCCAAAAAUGGGGGCAUAGUUGUUGGGUUCAUGUGCUCCACUUCAGUGGCCCGGUAUUCACAGGUUCAGAUGCCAUCUGCUGACUUACACACCACUCAUCAAGCCAUGUUGUGGCUGCAUACAGAGUAGAGGAGGAUGGGCACAGAUGUUAGAUUAGCAAAAAUCUUCCUCAAGCAAAAAGAGGAAGAUUGGCAACAGAUGUUAGCUCAGAACCAAUUUUCUUCACCACAAAAAAAAAAAAAAGGAAAAAAGACAGUUAUUGAUCAGGUCCAGGCCAACUGGGGCUGAUGAUUGCAGAGGUGUUGUUUAACUACUUGGAUCAUUACUGUGGAUGGUAACUUCCUUCCUGGAUGGUGACUGUGGAUGGUAGUUUCCUUCCUGGAUGGUGACUGUGGAUGGUAGUUUCCUUCCUGGAUGGUGACUGUGGAUGGUAGUUUCCUCCUGGAUGGUGACUGUGGAUGGUAUGUCAUUCCUGGAUGGUGACUGUGGAUGGUGGUAUCACUACCUGGAUGGUGACUGUGGAUGGUAGUUUCCUUCCUGGAUGGUGACUGUGGAUGGUAGUAUCAUUCCUGGAUGGUGACAGUGGAUGGUAGUUUCCUUCCUGGAUGGUGACAGUGGAUGGUAGUUUCCUCCUGGAUGGUGACUGUGGAUGGUAGUGUCACUUCCUGGAUGGUGACUGUGGAUGGUAGUUUCCUUCCUGGAUGGUGACAGUGGAUGGUAGUGUCAUUCCUGGAUGGUGACUGUGGAUGGUAGUGUCAUUCCUGGAUGGUGACUGUGGAUGGUAGUUUCCUCCUGGAUGGUGACUGUGGAUGGUAGUUUCAUUCCUGGAUGGUGACUGUGGAUGGUAGUUUCCUCCUGGAUGGUGACUGUGGAUGGUAGUUUCCUUCCUGGAUGGUGACUGUGGAUGGUAGUUUCCUUCCGGGAUGGUGACUGUGGAUGGUAGUUUCCUCCUGGAUGGUGACUGUGGAUGGUAGUUUCCUACCUGGAUGGUGACUGUGGAUGGUAGUGUCAUUCCUGGAUGGCUACUGUAAAUAAUGGGUCAGAGUUAUACUUUCCUUUAUGAUGUUAUUAUAUGUUUGUAUUUUCACUGUCUUGCACUGAGGCUGCUGGUCCAAGGACCAAAUUGAAUAACAAGUCUCCAGACCACUGGUCUGUCAUCAGACAUUAAUUAACACAAGUGGGCCAUGGAACCCACCGUGUAACCUGCAAAUGUAGGCCUUGCUUAAUCAUUCUGGUGGGCACUGCAAACAUUUGUAGACAUUUGUAGUCUCAUCUGUGAUCUCGCUGUAACCAUCCUACUGUCCAAUUACUGAAAUUCCAUCAAGUUCAAAAACUCAGGAGGAGGUACAUGGAGUGUUGGAUGAAAUUCUAGUCCAAGAGAUGCUGGAUCACAGUAAAUCAUCAGCGUCUACAACACAAGUGACCGAAGCAACGUUAUCAACAAGAUUAUUCAAGGAAAAAGGUUGUACUCAUGGAGUUCUGGGAAGACUGAAGGAGGUAAAGAAGAAAUCAAAUAAAAAUCAAAAUGAAAAACUAUCAGUUCUGGGCAAAACCCUUCAAACUGUGGGAAGAUCUUCAGGACAUUCUUUCCAGUAAAUGGAAGAGGAGGAGCAUGGCUCAGAAGAGGCGCAGAGCGGUCAGCACGGCCGCCAGCUCCGAGGGGCUCCCUACAGCAGGAAACCCACCCACCCACCCCACCCUCAGGAAUAAAGGACUUAUGUAGACACACAGGUAUGGUUAGCCACCCAUAGAAGGAGAGCUGUUUCGUUCAUGAAAUCCGAAGAAGAGUUCACUUAUUUAGACCAUUUAUUUAGACGUCAAGCUAGAGGGUAUGUGGGUUUCUUUUCGUUGUUUUUUUCUAAAGGAAACAAGAAAAUUAUCAAGUCCGAGAAGAGCACCAUCGAAAGGUUCCUCUUUUCUAACAGAAUAAGGUCUGAGGAAGGUUAGCCUCAGAGCUUCUGAGAAUUCUGUCCGUGAUGAACCAGAGUUUGUAGUGGCCUGCAGGCCAGCUGCCCGGCUCCCUCCUCCUGCAGCCGCAGAAAAGCGCACAUGCACGUCUACAAAACACACACUCAGUUUCCCUGCGCUGUAGUGUUUACAGGCCUGGGAAAGUGCAGAGUGGGUCUCUGUGGCAUGGGAGAGGAAAGUGCGCCCCAAGUGGGGUGUCCGCCCCACAGCACUUCCUGGGGGGGCGACUGAACAUAUCUUCCGGCAAGUCUGCUCGUCCAAGCCCAUCCUGACCCUGGGCAGGCUCCAUGGCUGCAGACUCAUGAGGUGCCCAGGCUGGAAAGAGUUACUCAGGACAGGUGUGGUUGUCCCGUUUCUCCACAAAGGCAGGUCCGGGGAAGUUGGUGAAUGCUAUACCAGAACGAGCCUGGAUAGAGAACUCCCGUCCCGAGACACAGUCUUGGCAAUGGAUUGGUAUUUGUUCUAAAACACCGUUUUUCAAGGUAGUUGGGAACUGAGUUAAACUAAACCAUUUUGGGGCCAGCCCCAUGGCCGAGUGGUUAAGUUCACGCCCUCCACUUUGGCAGCCCAGGGUUUCAAUGAGCACAUCAGGCCAUGCUGAGGCAGCGUCCCACAGGCCACAACUAGAAGGACACACAACUAGAAUAUAUAGCUGUAUACUGGGGGGCUUUGGGGAGAAAAGAAGAAGAAGAAGAAAAUAUUGGCAGCAGUUGUUAGUCGGGUGGCAAUCUUUAAAAAAAACCAAACAACUAAAUGAUUUUAUUUGUAACUGUGGGCUGUACGCUCUUCUCAAGAGAGACAGACGUCUUCUCCUCUCUUCCCUAAUAUCAGCAAGUCAGCUGUAACACCGAGGAGUGGGGAUUAGAGGCAGAGACUUGAGGCCCCUAUCCUAUUUCCACAACACCAUUCUGCAGCCUCUCUACCAAUAAACAGGUAUUGCAGUGUGGGGAUUUUUUUCUGUUUUUAUGAAUAUAGUUUUAAUUUUUCUGUUUUGUGCUUGAAUCUCACAAAACAUUUUUAGAGUACUUUGUGAUUUGUAAGCUGUUUGCAUGCGCAUGUUGCCACUGAACCCCCACCACAGUGCUGGGAGGGAGCUGUCACCUCCACUUGGUCUCCACUCGGAGACAGCAGGCGACUUUCCCCUUGUCACACGGUCACAUGGUCCGUGGUAGACCCAGUGCUCUGUCUCGGCCUGGGAUCUUCCUGCCACACGUUCUAACAGUCAACAGCAUCACGCUUUCCAAGCAGGAUCUUCCAGAGCUGGUCCCCAGGAGAACUUUGACAGAGCAAGACCGACCUCAAUAAAACAAAGUAUAAAAACAUCGUUGACUUGGCCUCUCCCUUUCCCUCACUCCAUUCCUGAUCUCGUGGGAUCCCUGAUGGCAGGGAUUUUCAAAGGCUGAAAGUUUAAUGCUUUCAUGUUUGACCCUAUCGGAAUGUCUUCUCUCAGUGACGGCAUCAACAAGGCCGAGUCAAACGUUGGUUCUCAGUGCCAUCGAGGCUCACGGAGAGUCCAGGCCGCUUCUCAGGGUUAGGGACCUUCAGCCACUGCUCUCAGGAGGCUGAAAGGACAGCUGAGGAACUAAAUUUAUGAACGAACACAUAAAUAUUAGUAUUAGCUAGCAAAAGUCAAGUGAUGACUUGGCUUAUGGGCAGUAAGCGUUAAAAAACGUGCCUUUGAACUGGAAGUGGGCCUUCCACUGGGUCCAGAGCCGAAUGGGACCCUCCAUGGAGAAGAGUCAACCCUCUCAGGAGAGAAGCACAGUGGGUCACUGCGGGCACUGCCGCCCUGGGAGCCAGAGUGACGCCCUAGUACAUCCUAUGGGUUAGAAAAAUGUUAAAAAAUACUGAUCUGCUCUGUAUGAUUUCAACUUUGUGAAAUUUACUGAGGGCUGCUUUAUGGCCAAACAUGGUCAAUUUUAGUGACUGUUCUAUUUGGAACUUAGGAGGAACGUGUAUCCUGCUGUUGUUGGGGACAGUGUCCUGCAAAGGCAAUUGUGUGGUUUCCCUUUUCUCCUCACCAACUGACCUUUGUCUAUUUGGUCCAUCACUUUCCGAGGGAAGUGUGUUAAAGUCCCCCACUACGAUUGUGAGUGAUUUAUUCCUUUACAAUUC
rnacentral:lncRNA from 1 species